rnacentral:rRNA from 1 species
UACGUAGGAGACGAGCGUUGUUCGGAAUCACUGGGCGUAAAGCGCACGUAGGCGGAUAUGUCAGUCAGGGGUGAAAUCCCGGGGCUCAACCUCGGAACUGCCCUUGAUACAGCAUAUCUUGAGUCCGAUAGAGGUGGGUGGAAUUCCUAGUGUAGAGGUGAAAUUCGUAGAUAUUAGGAAGAACACCGGUGGCGAAGGCGGCCCACUGGAUCGGUACUGACGCUGAGGUGCGAAAGCGUGGGGAGCAAACAGG